UGAGGAAUUUUGGGCAAUGGGGGCAACCCUGACCCAGCGACACCGCGUGCAGGAUGACGGCCCUUCGGGUCGUAACCUGCUUUCGGGUGAGAAGAAAAGCCGACCCUGUCGGCUGGGACUGUACCACCAGAAGAAGCACCGGCUAACUACGUGCCAGCAGCCGCGGUAAUACGUAGGGUGCAAGCGUUAUCCGGAAUCACUGGGUGUAAAGGGUGUGUAGGCGGAUUUGUGCGUCAGAGGUUAAAUACCCAGGCUUAACUUGGGAAAUGCCUUUGAUACGGCAAGUCUUGAGUAUGAGAGAGGAAGAUGGAAUUCCUGGUGUAGAAGUGAAAUUCGUAGGUAUCAGGAGGAACACCGGUGGCGAAGGCGGUCUUCUGGCUCAUUACUGACGCUGAGGCACGAAAGCGUGGGGAUCAAACAGG
rnacentral:rRNA from 1 species